GUGCUCGUUUCGGCAGCAGAUAUACUAAAAUUGGAAUGAUACAGAGAACAUUAUCAUGCCCCCUGCGUAAGGAUGACACAAACAUUCAUGAAGUGUUCCAUAGGGCU